rnacentral:rRNA from 1 species
UACGUAGGGCGCAAGCGUUGUCCGGAAUUAUUGGGCGUAAAGAGCUCGUAGGCGGCUUGUCACGUCGGGUGUGAAAGCCCGGGGCUUAACCCCGGGUCUGCAUUCGAUACGGGCUAGCUAGAGUGUGGUAGGGGAGAUCGGAAUUCCUGGUGUAGCGGUGAAAUGCGCAGAUAUCAGGAAGAACACCAAUGGCGAAGGCAGCUCUCUGGGACGGUACUGACGCUGAGACGCGAAAGCGUGGGGAGCGAACAGG